ensembl:snoRNA
AAGACUAUACUUUCAGGGAUCAUUUCUAUAGUUUCUGACUCGAGAAAUGUGUUUCUAAAGUGUUUGGUCUCGCUAACCACGAUGAAGAGUUGGUGAUACUCCUUUCUGAGCGCGAAGCGGGCGAAGAGACUUGAUUAACUUCACAUGCUCUUCGCUUUUGAUGACCGUUCACUGUCUCCUCUGGGGACAAUGAGGGAAGGAGUAUGAUCAGAGUGGUA